rnacentral:miRNA from 1 species
AUUGUCUCUUUCAAAUAUAUGUGCGUGUGUGUGUGUAUAUAUGUAUAUAUAUAUACACACACACACACAUACACACACAUAU